UACGUAGGGUGCAAGCGUUAAUCGGAAUUACUGGGCGUAAAGCGUGCGCAGGCGGUUUUGUAAGUCAGAUGUGAAAUCCCCGGGCUUAACCUGGGAACUGCGUUUGAACUACAAGGCUAGAGUGUGGCAGAGGGGGUGGAAUUCCACGUGUAGCAGUGAAAUGCGUAGAGAUGUGGAGGAACACCGAUGGCGAAGGCAGCCCCUGGGUUAACACUGACGCUCAGGCACGAAAGCGUGGGGAGCAAACAGG
rnacentral:rRNA from 1 species